GAUCAUGGCUCAGGAUGAACGCUAGCGGCAGGCUUAACACAUGCAAGUCGAGGGGUAGAGGAAGCUUGCUUCCUUGAGACCGGCGCACGGGUGCGUAACGCGUAUACAAUCUACCUUUACAGAGGGAUAGCCCAGAGAAAUUUGGAUUAAUACCUCAUAGUAUAGCAGUUUCGCAUGAAACCACUAUUAAAGUCACAACGGCAAAAGAUGAGCAUGCGUCCCAUUAGUUAGUUGGUAAGGUAACGGCUUACCAAGACAAUGAUGGGUAGGGGUCCUGAGAGGGAGAUCCCCCACACUGGUACUGAGACACGGACCAGACUCCUACGGGAGGCAGCAGUGAGGAAUAUUGGUCAAUGGGCGCAAGCCUGAACCAGCCAUGCCGCGUGCAGGAAGACGGUCCUAUGGAUUGUAAACUGCUUUUAUACAGGAAGAAACCCUCCCACGUGUGGGAGCUUGACGGUACUGUAGGAAUAAGGAUCGGCUAACUCCGUG
rnacentral:rRNA from 1 species